GACGAACGCUGGCGGCGUGCCUAAUACAUGCAAGUAGAACGCACAGUUUAUACCGUAGCUUGCUACACCAUAAACUGUGAGUUGCGAACGGGUGAGUAACGCGUAGGUAACCUGCCUGGUAGCGGGGGAUAACUAUUGGAAACGAUAGCUAAUACCGCAUAAUAUUAAUUAUUGCAUGAUAAUUGAUUGAAAGAUGCAAUUGCAUCACUACCAGAUGGACCUGCGUUGUAUUAGCUAGUAGGUGAGGUAACGGCUCACCUAGGCGACGAUACAUAGCCGACCUGAGAGGGUGAUCGGCCACACUGGGACUGAGACACGGCCCAGACUCCUACGGGAGGCAGCAGUAGGGAAUCUUCGGCAAUGGACGAAAGUCUGGCCGAGCAACGCCGCGUGAGUGAAGAAGGUUUUCGGAUCGUAAAGCUCUGUUGUAAGAGAAGAACGGGUGUGAGAGUGGAAAGUUCACACUGUGACGGUAUCUUACCAGAAAGGGACGGCUAACUACGUG
rnacentral:rRNA from 1 species